rnacentral:tRNA from 1 species
CCUGGUGGCUCAGAUGGUAAAGAAUCUGUCUGCAAUGCAGAAGACCUGGGUUCAAUCCCUGAGUCAGGA